AUCCGGCUUGCGUGAUGUUGCGGAGUGUUCCUCUGCACGGCAUGUCUGAUACCAUAAGUGGCAGCUCUGUGUCUUCUCUGCCCCACACUUGUGUGGGAGCCCGUACUCCAUGUCCACGGAUCCCCUUCAGUAGUGCAGGCGGAUCUUGAGCCUGCGGGUUCACUGGGAUGCAGAGUAUCCCCUGGGUGUGUGGAUGACAAGCUGGAGGUACCUCCACGUGUGUCUCCGGCCCAGUAGAGAGACAAGAAGCACUCCAGAUCGGCUGUGCAGCAGGUGGAGUGAAUAUAGAGGCUUUGCUGUAUAUGCAAUCCCAGAACUUCUGGCAGACCACAUUGAAUCUCUUAAGGAAGUGCUCUUCCCAAUCUUGGCCCAGCAGGUCUGCCUGAUCGUGAUAAGUGCCCUGCACAGCGGCCAUUUUAGUCACGCCACGGUUUCAAGAAUCGUCGGCUUGUCAGCUUUAAGUGCAGUUUUC